rnacentral:rRNA from 1 species
CCUACGGGGGGCUGCAGUGGGGAAUAUUGCACAAUGGGCGAAAGCCUGAUGCAGCGACGCCGCGUGAGCGAAGAAGGCCUUCGGGUCGUAGAGCUCUGUCCUAUGGGAAGAAAGAUGACGGUACCAUAGGAGGAAGCCCCGGCUAACUACGUGCCAGCAGCCGCGGUAAUACGUAGGGGGCGAGCGUUGUCCGGAAUGACUGGGCGUAAAGCGCGCGUAGGCGGAUAAUUAAGUCAGAUGUGAAAACUCUGGGCUCAACCGAGAGCAUGCACCUGAUACUGGUUAACUUGAGUGUAGAAGAGGAGAGUGGAAUUCCUAGUGUAGCGGUGAAAUGCGUAGAUAUUAGGAGGAACACCAGUGGCGAAGGCGACUCUCUGGUCUAUAACUGACGCUGAGGCGCGAAAGCGUGGGGAGCAAACAGGAUUAGAUACCCUUGUAGUC